AGCGCAGGUGGGAAAGUAAGUCAGUCUUAAAAGUGCGGGGCUCAACCCCGUGAGGGGAUUGAAACUACUUUUCUUGAGUGCAGGAGAGGAAAGCGGAAUUCCUAGUGUAGCGGUGAAAUGCGUAGAUAUUAGGAGGAACACCAGUGGCGAAGGCGGCUUACUGGACUGUAACUGACGUUGAGGCGCGAAAGUGUGGGGAGCAAACA
rnacentral:rRNA from 1 species